GUAACGUUUAUUUUUUGCAUCUGAAAAAUGAAAAACACGGUCGCAGCACACACCGACACACUUAUUCAUUGUCUCUCAUUUGCUCGAGGAACAUCAACAGUGACACACACACUAACUCACUGAUACACACAUAUAUAGAUACACAUACAUAGAAAUGAAUGGAGAGGAAAAGCGAUUGAUUGGCAGGAAAAGUAGGAAGAGAAAUUACUUCGGUUUCCGGCAUUUGAUAUAAUUCUGCUGCUACACAAGGACAUCCGAGAACGCAACCAAAGAACGGCCAGCCAGCCGAUGAACGUCAUCUGCUUCGAAGUUUUUCUUUAUGCACCUUUUUUUUUUAAUUCAAAAAUGUUUAGUAGGACGUUAACAUCAGGAAUCUUACCGACACUAAAGGUGUGUGAAAGCCGUGAGACCUACUCUUUACGUAACAAGCAUAUGGAUUUUUUGUCUUUUAAAGUUAUACAUUAUAUUUAUUGGACGAAAUAAAUC